rnacentral:rRNA from 1 species
UGGGGGAUAUUGCACAAUGGGCGAAAGCCUGAUGCAGCGACGCCGCGUGGGGGAUGAAGGCUUUCGGGUUGUAAACCUCUUUCGCUAUCGAACAAGGCCCGCUUAGGGUGGGUUGAGGGUAGGUGGAGAAGAAGCGCCGGCUAACUACGUGCCAGCAGCCGCGGUAAUACGUAGGGCGCGAGCGUUGUCCGGAAUUAUUGGGCGUAAAGGGCUUGUAGGCGGCUUGUUGCGCCUGCUGUGAAAACGCGGGGCUUAACUUCGCGCGUGCAGGGGGUACGGGCAGGCUUGAGUGUGGUAGGGGUGACUGGAGUUCCAGGUGUAGCGGUGGAAUGCGCAGAUAUCUGGAGGAACACCGAUGGCGAAGGCAGGUCACUGGGCCAUUACUGACGCUGAGGAGCGAAAGCAUGGGUAGCGAACAGG